CUAUGGGUGAAAAAUGAAGCAGGGGCUUCCAUGAGAUCAGAGGAGCCGCACAGCUGAAACCUCACGGUAAACGCUCAUGUGCUACGUAAUGUGCAACACCA